rnacentral:rRNA from 1 species
UAAGCAUAUCAAUAAGCGGAGGAAAAGAAACCAACAGGGAUUGCCUUAGUAACGGCGAGUGAAGCGGCAAAAGCUCAAAUUUGAAAUCUGGCACCUUCGGUGUCCGAGUUGUAAUUUGAAGAAGGUAACUUUGGAGUCAGCUCUUGUCUAUGUUCCUUGGAACAGGACGUCACAGAGGGUGAGAAUCCCGUGCGAUGAGAUGUCUGAUUCUAUGUAAAGUGCUUUCGAAGAGUCGAGUUGUUUGGGAAUGCAGCUCUAAGUGGGUGGUAAAUUCCAUCUAAAGCUAAAUAUUGGCGAGAGACCGAUAGCGAACAAGUACAGUGAUGGAAAGAUGAAAAGAACUUUGAAAAGAGAGUGAAAAAGUACGUGAAAUUGUUGAAAGGGAAGGGUUUGAGAUCAGACUUGGUAUUUUGUAUGUCUUGCUUUCGGGUGGGGCCUCUACAGUUUACUGGGCCAGCAUCGGUUUGGACGGUAGGAUAAUGACAUUGGAAUGUGGCACCACUUCGGUGGUGUGUUAUAGACU